UCGAGGUCGACUAAGCCAUGCGAGUCGAUGUAGGCGGUCUCAUGGCGAACUGCUCAGUCAACACGUGGACACCUACCCUUAGGCCUGGGAUAACCCCGGGAAACUGGGAAUAAUACCGGAUAUGGCGCGAAUGCUGGAAUGCGUCGCGCCAGAAAGCUCCGGCGCCUAAGGAUGGGUCUGCGGCCUAUCAGGGUAGCAGUGGGUGUAACGGACCUACUAGCCUACGACGGGUACGGGUCGUGAGAGCAAGAGCCCGGAGAUGGAUUCUGAGACACGAAUCCCAGGCCCUACGGGGUGCAGCAGGCGCGAAAACCUUACAAUGCCUGGCAACAGCGAAAGGGGACCUCGAGUGCCAGGAUACAAUCCUGGCUGUCGUUAAUGCCUAAAAAGCAUUGCAUAGCCAAGGGCCGGGCAAGACCGGUGCCAGC
rnacentral:rRNA from 1 species